GCAUAUCAAUAAGCGGAGGAAAAGAAACCAACAGGGAUUGCCCCAGUAACGGCGAGUGAAGCGGCAACAGCUCAAAUUUGAAAUCUGGCCCUCGGGUCCGAGUUGUAAUUUGUAGAGGAUGCUUUUGGCGAGGUGCCUUCCGAGUUCCCUGGAACGGGACGCCAUAGAGGGUGAGAGCCCCGUCUGGUCGGACACCGAGCCUCUGUAAAGCUCCUUCAACGAGUCGAGUAGUUUGGGAAUGCUGCUCAAAAUGGGAGGUAUAUGUCUUCUAAAGCUAAAUAUUGGCCAGAGACCGAUAGCGCACAAGUAGAGUGAUCGAAAGAUGAAAAGCACUUUGAAAAGAGGGUUAAAAAGUACGUGAAAUUGUUGAAAGGGAAGCGCUUAUGACCAGACUUGCGCCCGGUGAAUCAUCCAGCGUUCUCGCUGGUGCACUUUGCCGGGCACAGGCCAGCAUCAGUUUGGCGCGGGGGAAAAAGGCUUCGGGAAUGUGGCUCCCUCGGGAGUGUUAUAGCCCGCUGCGUAAUACCCUGCGCCGGACUGAGGUACGCGCAUUGCAAGGAUGCUGGCGUAAUGGUCAUCAGCGACCCGUCUUGAAACACGGACCAAGGAGUCGUCUUCGUAUGCGAGUGUUCGGGUGUCAAACCCCUACGCGUAAUGAAAGUGAACGCAGGUGAGAGCUUCGGCGCAUCAUCGACCGAUCCUGAUGUUCUCGGAUGGAUUUGAGUAAGAGCAUACGGGGCCGGACCCGAAAGAAGGUGAACUAUGCCUGUAUAGGGUGAAGCCAGAGGAAACUCUGGUGGAGGCUCGCAGCGGUUCUGACGUGCGAAUCGAUCGUCAAAUAUGGGCAUGGGGGGCGAAAGACUAAUCGAACCUUCUAGUAGCUGGUUUCCGCCGAA
rnacentral:rRNA from 1 species